rnacentral:rRNA from 1 species
GAAGUNGAGUUGUUUGGGAAUGCUGCUCAAAAUGGGAGGUAAACCCCUUCUAAAGCUAAAUACCGGCCAGAGACCGAUAGCGCACAAGUAGAGUGAUCGAAAGAUGAAAAGCACUUUGAAAAGAGAGUUAAAAAGCACGUGAAAUUGUUGAAAGGGAAGCGCUUGCGACCAGACUCGCGCCCGCCGGAUCAGCCGUCGCUUGUCGGCGGCGCACUCCGGCGGGCUCGGGCCAGCAUCAGUUCGCCUCGGGGGGAGAAAGGCGGCAGGAAUGUGGCUCUUCGGAGUGUUAUAGCCUGCCGCGUAAUACCCCCGGGCGGACUGAGGACCGCGCGUAUGCAAGGAUGCUGGCGUAAUGGUCGUCAGCNACCCGUCUUGAAACAC